UGAUAAGUUGACUUUAUUCAAAUGGUUGUUGUACACGAAGAAAGAGAAAACACAAGAGUCAAGGCUAAGAGCUUAGUCUAACGGACAUAUAUCCAAAAAUUCUAUAAAUAGAAGAACUUUCAAAUAAAGAAGAUCAAAAGGAUAUCAUACAACGAAAUAUUCAUUUUGAUAAGCGUUCAAAAGAAAAGAAAAGAAACAGCUCAAGAAAAAAAAAAUACAUCUGAGUAGAAAAAGAUAAAAAGAGAAAAGAAAAUAAAAGAAAUACUCUCGAG
rnacentral:lncRNA from 1 species